rfam:Helianthus annuus linkage group 13, whole genome shotgun sequence.
UUUCAUAUGAUGAGCUACUCAGAUCCCUCUUCAGUACAUCUGUAGGAUGCAAAAACCGAGCUUUUGAUUGU